GUCUUCCAUGGCAGGCGACGCUUGAGUGAUGCUGGGAGAAGAUUCCUUGGGAGCUCAACCAGCAGCCGUUAUGCCCGCAUUUCGGCCCACAGAUCAUCUUCAGGCGGUCUCCCCUCCCCGAGGGAUUAAGAUAUGACCGGUCCCACCUGGCAAUGGGUGGGAUCUUCGUUCCGUAGGUGAACAGGUUUGCCUACCGCAUUCAUUCAAUGCGCGGUCUGCACCGACGUUAUGGUGCAGGCAACAUCGUCCAAAUGCUGAGCGUGCCCGGCGGAAGCCUAUCACAGUCAGCAGCCAGUGCCCGUCGUCGGCCUGGUGCACAGAUCAACCGACGAUGACCCGUAGAGGUUGAGAUAUGAUCGGUCCCGGCCUGGAAGAGGCCCGGAGUCGCGGAACCUGCGGAAGGAUCAUUACCGAGAGCUCGGGGUCUAACCGGCCCCUCUCUUCACCCGUGUCUACAAAAACAAAUGUUGCUUGGCGGGCCAGGGCCCCGUCCCUGGAUGGGCUUUACCUUCCCACCCGGUGCCCAGCCGAAGGUACAACCAAACUCUGUUAUCAGUGUCGUCCGAGUAUACACAUAAUAAACUAAACUUCAACAACGGAUCUCUUGGUUCCCGCAUCGAUGAAGAACGCAGCGAAAUGCGAAAAUUAAUGUGAAUUGCAGAAUUCCGUGAAUCAUCGAGUCUUUGAACGCACAUUGCGCCCCUUUGGUAUUCCGAAGGGCAUGCCUGUUCGAGCGUCAUUGCACCUCUCAAGCACUGCUUGGUAUUGGGCCGCGCCCCGCUGGCGUGCCUGGAAUUCAGUGGCGGUCCAGCGAGACUUCAAGCGUAGCAAGAUUUCACGAUCCCGCUUUGGAAGGUUCCUGCUGUGUGCCGGCCAGACAACCCCAUUAUUUAUCAAUGGUUGACCUCGGAUCAGGUAGGGAUACCCGCUGAACUUAA
rnacentral:rRNA from 1 species